AACGAACGCUGGCGGCAGGCUUAACACAUGCAAGUCGAACGCCCCGCAAGGGGAGUGGCAGACGGGUGAGUAACGCGUGGGAAUCUACCCAGUUCUACGGAACAACUGAGGGAAACUUCAGCUAAUACCGUAUACGCCCUACGGGGGAAAGAUUUAUCGGAAUUGGAUGAGCCCGCGUUGGAUUAGCUAGUUGGUGGGGUAAUGGCCUACCAAGGCGACGAUCCAUAGCUGGUCUGAGAGGAUGAUCAGCCACACUGGGACUGAGACACGGCCCAGACUCCUACGGGAGGCAGCAGUGGGGAAUAUUGGACAAUGGGCGCAAGCCUGAUCCAGCCAUGCCGCGUGAGUGAUGAAGGCCUUAGGGUUGUAAAGCUCUUUCAGUGGGGACGAUAAUGACGGUACCCACAGAAGAAGCCCCGGCUAACUUCGUGCCAGCCGCCGCCGUAAAAC
rnacentral:rRNA from 1 species